ACGGAGGGGGCUAGCGUUGUUCGGAAUUACUGGGCGUAAAGCGUCCGCAGGCGGAUAUUUAAGUUAGAGGUGAAAUCCCGGGGCUCAACCCCGGAACUGCCUUUAAAACUGGGUAUCUAGAGUUAUGGAGAGGUAAGUGGAAUUCCUAGUGUAGAGGUGAAAUUCGUAGAUAUUAGGAGGAACACCAGAGGCGAAGGCGGCUUACUGGACAUUAACUGACGCUGAGGGACGAAAGUGUGGGUAGCAAACGGG
rnacentral:rRNA from 1 species